GUAAAGAAUAACUCUGGUGAAUAGGGAUCAUACUAAUACACUUAAUUUAUUGAAAUAAAUAACUAAUUUAUUGAAAUAAAUGUAGGUUCAGAACAAGACGAGUUAAUAAGGUAACUGACAACUAGAAGUAAUUUUUUCAACAUAAUAUAACAUCACUGUCGGACUUCCCGUCAAUCUGUUAUUACUUUCCAGAAGAAAAUAUUUCAAGAAGCUUCUUGCAUUUUUUGUGUAUUAAAGAAUCUUAAUUUUGGUCUGUCAUGGUAAUAUAUCACGAUGUAGUUUAGAAUUUAUUAAAUAAAGAGAUCUAAUUUAUGCAUUUUCAAAUAUUUGAUUGUGAUAUAUUAAUUCCAAAUUGUGUGGCACAUUACUAUGUAACAAUUUUCCUUUUUGUUCGUCAUAUUUUGAUCGACAAAUUAAUUGGAUCUAAAUAAUACAAGAUGAAAAUUUUAA